GAUGAAGAACGUAGUGAAAUGCGAUAAUUAAUGUGAAUUGCAGAAUUCAGUGAAUCAUCGAGUCUUUGAACGCACAUUGCCCCCCCUGGUAUUCCGGGGGGCAUGCCUGUCCGAGCGUCAUUGCUGCCCUCAAGCACGGCUUGUGUGUUGGGCUUCCGUCCCUGGCAACGGGGACGGGCCCAAAAGGCAGUGGCGGCACCAUGUCUGGUCCUCGAGCGUAUGGGGCUUUGUCACCCGCUCCCGUAGGUCCAGCUGGCAGCUAGCCUCGCAACCAAUCUUUUUAACCAGGUUGACCUCGGAUCAGGUAGGGAUACCCGCUGAACUUAAGCAUAUCAAUAAGCGGAGGA
rnacentral:misc_RNA from 1 species